rnacentral:rRNA from 1 species
UACAGAGGUCUCGAGCGUUAGGCGGAAUCACUGGGCUUAAAGCGUGUGUAGGUGGAUCGUUAAGUACCUUGUGAAAUCCCACGGCUUAACCGUGGAACUGCUUGGUAUACUGGGUGUCUUGAGCUAUCUAGGGGCAACUGGAACAAACGGUGGAGCGGUGAAAUGCGUAGAUAUCGUUUGGAACGCCAAUGGUGAAAACAGGUUGCUGGGGAUAUGCUGACGCUGAGACACGAAAGCCAGGGGAGCAAACGGG